CGUCCCCUCCCUCCUUCCCGCCCCGCAGGAGGGUCCCACCUGCGCGGGCACGGCUCCGCUGCUCCUCGGUCCCUGCUGGCUUUUCCUCGUCUUUCUUACCGGAGGGGCCUGCACAAAAUUCAAAGAUAAACUUGAAUCACUUUUCACAACGUCAGUUCAAGCCAGCCUGGGCUAGUAAUAUUCUAAACGCAGUUGUGGGUAGAAGUCAGUACCAAAGAUCAAAUCCUGCACGGAGCUGAGCCGGCAGUAAAUCUCCCGUUAGCAUCAGCAGCUCGGCAUCGGGGACUGCGUGUCCGAAAAUGACCGCAGCUGUUCUCAGAGCGGGCAGUGACCCCUGUGAGGAAGUGACACACACAGAGAAGCCACCUCCUCGUGCUUUAAGAAGCAUUAUCCUCCUCUCAGCGUCAUUCCGGACCGUCCAUUCAGAAGCAUCCAACAGGUAAUUAUUUUGGGUAGCGCCUGAGCGUGGGAUUUGCGGAGAAAAUCCCGCAAGUCUCUAUGCGAGCUUGGCACCCGCGGUGUCGCAGGGAGCUGGCGGGGCUCACGGCAGUGGCCCUCUAGUGACAGGCACAGAAAUUCUGCCACAAGCAACAGGUACCGGCAGCUCCUCUCGCACGGAGCUCGGCAGCGCCCCAGACUGACGCUUCACCGGCGCAGGUGAGAUAGGCAGCGGCAGCAAGGGGAUCUUCUGGGAAAUUUGGAGAGCCAUUCACAGAGGAGGCCUUGGAAUUUGAAAUCUUAAUCAGUGUUUUGUCAUCUUUCAUGCAGGAUUCCUGCGCUUUGCAAAGAUCAGUAAGAAAAAAUAGGUGCAUCACAUUAUAAGUGAAGUGUCAAAAUAUUUUUAGCUAGAAAGUCAAAAAGACGUCACUAACAAAGAUUAAGUUUUUCAGAAUCACCAUUGCUAUUGAAACUCUCAUCUGAAAUCAUAUCAUAGGAAUACAGACUACACCUGCAUGUUCUUUACACUGAUGUAACAUUAAGGACCUGACAAUCAGAUUUCUCUGGGAGAAAAUCUCAAGAUAAAGGCUUUCUCAAGUGAGAUGGACCAGAAAAGUGAGUUCAAUACAAGUGAUGACACAGACACAUGAACUUGAUAAAACAGCACAGUCCUGGAUUAGCAUAAACCCAGAUACAAAUCACCUGAAUAAACAUCAAUGAAGACAUUCUGGUGUAUAAUAUCUGCACUGGUGAAUUAAGAGGCUGAUGUUAGUAUGAUGAAAGAUAGAUUGCCUGUAAGAAAGAGCACUAAAACAUCAGGGAUCUCUCAAACAUUCACCAACUGAUUAGUUGUCUCUACCACACUGACAGUUCUCAGCAUAUUUGGUUCAUAAAUCUCCUCCCCUCCAUCCCAGCGUAAGAAUUACCCCUGGAGAAGAAAGGGAUGCCCUGCUGUGUCUCGUAAUCUGCAAUUAGAAAACGAUCCCAAGGGGAACUAUUAGCAGCUGGUACCGUUUAGAGCUGUCCAGACAGCCCUGAUUCAGCUGCAGAAUCUGGAACCACAACCAGCUGCCUGACAGUCCUCUCACUCAUCCCAUCUUGCAAACGGCACGGUCUGCAUGCAGCAGAGAUUUUCAGCUACUGUAUGAAACGUGCUGUCAUGUGCUAUGGUAGAACAGGUCUGUUCUGCUCCACACGGGCUUGAAAAAUGGAAACAUGAUCUCAUUCAAGACAAAGGUCUUGAGUGUUGUGUCUUGGGAAUUGUAAUACAAUUGUAACAUUUUCCAGCUUUAUCUGCCUCCUCUUAAAUUGACUUAUACUUUUCCUUUCAACAGUCCACACAGAAUUAGAUGUAAUUUGAAAAUAAAUUAUCCUUGGAAUGGCAGAACCUAAUUUUGCACCUGAGGCAUUAUAUGUCCCUGGGUAGGCAAGAGCAUGGUACUAAGAACAGGGAAAGCCAGAAAGGUUGAGUGGCACAGAUACACCUCAGGGAAGUAAAGAAAGAGAAGGAAGAUGAGGAAUGUCCACAGAGGUGAGAGUGGCCUGGGAGGUGGAAGCAUUACAGAUACUGUGGUUGAGAAAAAGCAAUUGAGAAGAUUUGGCAGGUGAGUUCAUAUGGAAAAGGACUGAGAGCAGUCUUUCUGCUCACUAACAUCUUGCUAAUCUGACCUCAAGGUUACGAAAUUUGAAGGAUUUAAGAUGUUGACAUAGCAUUUUGUCAGGUCUGCUAAUUUGUGUAUGAAAUGCAUUGCAGCUAAUACCAUGGAAUUUACAGAGAUUUUUCAUAGCUGAUUUCUUGUUGAUAUUAAGCAAUAUUUUUGAGCAAUCUGAAAAUUAUCCCAAGAACUGGACUCAUUUGAGCUAUUUGGAAAAUUUGUCAAGCUUUGAAAUAGCAUUUUGCCAUUUUUGCUAAUUACCUUCUAAUCAAAAUAUGUUUUAAUUGCCAUUGUCAAGAACAAUGCAACACUCUUACUCAUAAUGAUGGCAAGUCUGUCUCCUAAAAUCAAAAUUCCUCCAGGCCAUUUAGCAUAUCUGUUUCAAGUAAACAAUAGUGCCAUUUCUUGAACAGGAAAUUAAGAUAAUUUUUAGAAAAUUUCGUUGUGUAAUAAAACAAUCCUUUAUUUCUCUGCACUGAUUUAUGCAUAAUGGGCCUCUACACAGACAACUGAGUAAACAGCGUGCACUGAAAUCUCCUGUCAGUGAAAGUACAUGUUACCAUGUUUUGCAUUAACCUCUUUCUUUUGGGAAAGAAAUGAAAGGGAGCUUUCCAGAUAUACUAUAGUUAUAGAUUUGCUGAUUGGCAGUUUAAAAAUGAAUGUUUAAUGGUGCAAUAAACAAGAUGCCACUUGUUUGACCACAGUGAAAGCAGAUGGCAAGGCGUCUUGGGUUAAUCUGUACUGGCUGUGCACUGGUUAGACUGUCAUUUAUUAAGCCAUAUGGCUCUGUGUAGGCACCAUUUCUCUGAAGAUAGGGUAUGUUUUUGUUGCCAGCUUAAAGUAACCUAAAACAGAGCUGUGUCUGAGAGAGGCCACCCUGCUGCCUCCUUUUUGCCAGUGUGGGCACUGGAGCAGCCGUGGUCAGCAGGACUGGGGGGCUGGUGCCCCUGGAGGCUUACCCAGACACACACGUACACCGCUGAACGAAUCCCUGUUUUCACCUGGCUCAGCUGCCCCGUCCAUACAGGCACUGGCCUUUGCUGGGGGAGCAGAAGAGCCAGAGGGCUCCUGGAGAGGGAGAGUUCACUUGGAGUGACCUGCUGGCUCAGGGGAGGUACAUAUGGGAUACUACAGGGUGAAAGAAGGUCUCUUUGGAAGAAUAAGCUGAGCUUAUGAGAGAGAGACUGUUGUGCUCUGCCUCUCUUCUGGCAAUGGCUUGUUCCUAGAGACACAUGAAGUGCUGUUGCUCUUCUCCCCCACUAAUGACAUGGGAAUAUUAAUGCUGAAUGUAACUAUAGAUUAAUUAGUGCUUGUCAAACAGUCUAGUAAUGCCAAUUGAAAUGAAAUUUGAGAAAGAGAGCCCUCUAACAGGUAUGGAAACCUCCGAUAGCAUUGCCUGUUUAGUACAGAAAAUGAUGAUAAUAGAUGAAUAGAUCCUCCAACCACAUGAGCCUUCCAAGACAACUGUCAUGACAUAAACCUUAUUAAUGCUAUCUUGAGACAGACAGUAUUUACAGACACAACAGCCUGCAUAAAAGAGCACUGGAAAUAAUAUCUUUUAUUCACAAAUGCUUCUAAGUGAAAGAAAAGCUGCUCCCAUGGUGGCUAUGGAAGGUAGCUAAAGAGCAGACACAACCUGUACAGCAAGGAUCUUUCAAUACUCAGUAUUAGAAGGUAAUUUAUUUGAGGUCAUGAAUAUCUUAAUCAGAAAAACCAAAAUCAGGAUGAAGAAAAUUGUUUUGCUGACAGCAAAGAAUUUUUUUCCCUGCUAGUUCAUCUUUUACAGAAUUAUUAGAAAACUAUAAAAGUAGGCAAGGUUUGAUAUGAAGCGAGAAAGACCAGGUAAGCCUUAAUUUUGUCUUGGUUCACUGAAUUUGUAUAUAAUUAAACUUCCAGUGUUAUUUAUUUGCAAAUACUUUUAAGUGCUCUCUUGCUUUAGAAUGCUUUGUACUUAAACUAGAUAAUGAAAAAAUUUUUUUUUACAACAACUGAAAGUAAUCCCUAAAAGUAACCCCUCAGCAACCUUUCCUGCCAAAUCCACAGACAGAGAAGAUACAUAGGAUAAGGUACACUUUAGCAUUCUUGGCACAUCUUUGGUAUGUAUAUUUCAAAACAACAUACAUUGCAGCAGGCUUGAGCAGAGUCAUCAGGCACCAAACCAACAUCCGAGCAAGCCCCAGGCUGGAACAAUUUCCUGUACCAGAUACAGAAGGAGACAAAUCUUCAGUCGGGUUCAGUAUCUCCAUUUUUAUUUUGCUAGUAUAUGGCUGUGUAAAUACAAUAUAAAAUUCUCCACUGGGAAUGAGGAUUUCCAGUUUUUGAGAAAAAGUAGCCUCGUCUCAUUUGCAUUAGUAAUCCUUGUUGGCAGUCUCACACACAGGAAGCCUGAAAAUACACAAGAAAAACAUCAAUUCCCCAGAGACACUGAAGGAGAUAUCUAAAUUAAGAUAACUUGAAAGAUAUCCUCAUUUCAAGGCAUGUAUUCAAAUCCCCACAACAGAUAGCAAGGCUGAAUAUUGCACGAACUGCAUAGAUUGACAAAACCUUUUUGGUAGUUGAUUGUUUUUCAUAUAAUUUUAAUUAUUGUUCAUCCUGCAGGGUUUUUAAUGGUUAUCUAUGGAGCCUUGAUCUGCUCUCUUCAUUAUACUGAGAGUAGCUUUUUUGAGCCUCUCCUUUGGGUGACUGCUCCCAUGCAAACCUAACUUCAUGGGAGUCUGUCCUUGAUAUGAUUGAACUGUUGAGAGAAGUAUUUGAUAUUUAAAACUAUAUUGUUACUGGCUGAUACUUCAAAUUCCAUAGUUUGUAUACUACAAACAUUUCCAUAGAUUGCCAUGGAUAUAGACAUUUGAUUAUUAAAAAAUUUACAUUUCCCAUAUUUGCCUUCUUUGAACAUUAAUUAUUUCACCUUGUCCUAAUCUUCAUAGAUCUGUUAUGAUUCAGGAUUUGGCAUUAUUGCAAAGUAACCAUCACAUUUACAAAUAUAUUACAAUAUAAGCCUAAUGUGAUUGCUGGUUUACAGACUUGUGGUACAGAUCUUAGAUUCAUGGUGGCAGACAGAUGUUUUGUAGGACUGGACUGGUAGCCAGUUCUCAUGUGAACUGAAGAGAGUUCUUGUUUUAACUAUAAUUUUAAAGACUGGACUAAAUUUAAAGGAGAAUCUGAGUCAACAGAACUUGCAUCUUCUUCUGAUCCUAUGAUGUGAGUUAUAGUAACUUAAAUUCAAUUUUAAAAUUGUUCUUUGUUCCCUUAGAUUCAUAAUUUUUGAGAUUGGACCUUUAAAUUUGGCCUUGUAGCCUAAAUGUAACCAAAAUAUGUGGUCACUUUACCCAACUUCCGUCUUUGUCUUUAAACAAAUAACUAUUUCUUUUCACUGCAUAUGAAGUGAAAACACAAAAUAUAUUUUUCCUUGUGUAAAUUUAUAUCUAGGACAUGUUUCCUUAUAAAAGGACCAAAAUUUAUUUCUUCCUCUCCAGACAGUGUUGUCCUAAUUACUCUUGGUAAUUCUGGUACUUUUGUCUAGAUCUAGAAUUACAAAAGAGAUUUCUAUCUUUAUGUGCUGUCCAGCCUUUACCCAGCUGUAAAUAGAGAAUCUGAGCCAGUAAAUCACACAACCAUAUGUUCAACAGCUUUAAACUUAUGCCAAGGUUGUCUUGAUUUCAAUCACAGUUAAGAUGAUGUGUACUGUCUUGUAGGAGAUGGAAUAGGCUUGGGAGCUUUCUUAGUUGGGGCAUCUACUGUUCUGGAAAUAUCUGCCUUCUGUAGAGUUUACAUAGCUUUCUAUAAAAACAGAGAUGGUCCAUGGAUGUAGGCAUCUGUAAUUUCUGUUGUGUUUUCUUUUAAUGAUUUGGGCUCACAAUUUUGAUCAUCAUUAUUUUCUCCCAUCCUCUUUUGAAGCAAAAUUUUGGUGAGUUGCUAGGCCAACAGAGAUUUAUGAACUUUUGGUGUCUCAUAGGAACAUUUGAUCUGAUUAAAAUAUGAUACCAUAGUUUUAAAGAUUUUUUUCCUUUCUUUCUUUAUGUUCUAUUCAGAACUGAUUAACAUGGAAAAAAAAUCUUGGUCCAGUCUCUUUUGAGAAUGAAAUAACUGGGUAUGAUUUUUCUUUUGCUCCAUUCAAGAUUCUAGAUUCAGUUAUGCAUUGUUCUAUGUUGUCAUUUAUGUAUAUAGAGUAAUUGAAGAAUGUGCAAAAGUAAUAAAUCAGCAUUUUUUUUGUGCAUUUGGCAGUGAUCUAUUGAUUGGGCUGCAGAGAAUAUGUCUACUAUUAUUUGGCAUUCUACAAAGACCAUGCCCAAGUAGUAGCUGGUGCAGUGCUGUGGUUUGGAUUUAGUAUGAGAAUAUUUUUGAUUCCACAAUGAUGUUCUAACUGUUUCUGAGUAGUGCCUACCUUAAGUCAAGGGCUUUUCAGCUUUCCAUGCUCUAGAGCCAUUGAGGAGGUGCACAAGGAGCCAGAGGGAGCAUGGCCAGGACAGCUGACCUGAGCUGGUCCAAGGGGCAUUCCAUACCACAGAAUGUGUUCUUCAGAAUAUGGGGUGGGGGGAAUUUGGACCAGCAGGGCUGAUCACUGCUGGGGGACUGGCUGGGCACUGCUCAGUGGGUGCUGAGAAAUUGCAUUGUGCAUCACUUGUCUUUCUUGGGAUUUAUUCCUCUCCCACUUCUUGUCUUCCUUUUCAUCACCAUCAUCAUCAUCAUCAUCUUUUACUCCAUUGCAAUUGCUGAACUGUUCCAUCAAUGCACAAGUCUUACCUUUUUAUCUAUUCUCCUCUUCUUCCCACUGUGAGGGACAUACUCCAUGGGGGAGACACCUCCUUUCUCCUCCAGGCUAGUUACUGCAGCUCUUGCAAAUUUCAAAUAUCUUUGGGAUGUUCAAACCAGCAUGGUUUUAUUGCUGUGUCUUCUGACUGUGCUCCAGGUCUUGUUGAACACCUACUUAAGAAAACCACCCAGAGAUCUGCACUGAGACUGGACAGCUCUGAGUGGACGGGUGUGUGGGAUAGUGUGGGCAAGAGCCCAGGACAGUGGGUACCUCCAGCAUUUUGGAACUUCCCCCUGAACAAGUGCAGGAUCCAGAAAAACUAGGAAAAUACUUGGAAAAGGGAUGCCAUCAGCCUGGCAAUUCCAGAGACACAAAUCACUGCAGCGUGCUGGGUCCUGGCCUACCGAGCCCAGUUCAACACUAUUCAGGAUGCUCAAGGGAAAAGAAUCUCCUGGAUUUGAUGGCAGUGACAGGCACUGCAGCUGCUCCAACCCUGGCCCCAGGCCCUGCUGGUAUCAGUCACCCCUUCUCACCAGAAGAGAAAAUGGACACGAGAGCUUGUUUAGCAAAGGAGAACAAAGCAGGGCCAUCACAAGAGCAGGAGGAAGAGGCGGAACAAGAAGGAACCACUCAAUCCCUAUCCCUGAGAGAGCUGUGGGAUAUGCAAAAAGAUUUCAGCCACCACCCAGGUGAGCAGGUGAUCACCUGACUGCUUGGAUGCUGGGGAACAGGGCUAGGAGCUUGGAAUUAGAGGGUAGGGAAACCAAGCAGCUGGGAUCACCUUCUAGGGAAGGGGGCAUUGACAAGGUGAUUGCAAAGGGCCUCAGCCUUUGGGAAGUGAUCCCUGUGGAGCGUGAAGGAAAACCCAGGAAAAAGCUGCAUGGACACUUUAGUUUUCAAUGAUACUUUUUUAGUGAAGGGACUUUUAAUCUAAUUUUCCACAUGAAAAAAUCCAAAACAAGGAACAGGUAUUCUGUUUUGUGAAGUGUCACCCUCUAAUGACAUAGUUCAUGACUAAUUACCUAAGCUCCUUGUUGUUACUUACUCCUUAUUUGCAAAGAAAGCAGUUGGUCAAAUUCAAGUUUCCAUAAAUGAAAGCAAGAGCCUUCAAGUUCCUGAGAUAUAUAUAUAGUUAUGAAAGGUCUGAAGUAAAUUGAAACAGAUCAUAAGUUUCAUAAAGGAGAUACUUGGAGUAGAAAGUAUUUAUUUUAAAUACUAGAAUAUAAGGAAUGACUGGAUGUGGAGAAAUUACAUUAUGAGGACACUAAAAUAAAAAUACUUAAGUAUUAGUGAAGGAAAAAUAUUAGAAUAUUAGAAUCCAAGGCAAAUAUACUAAUUUUUUUUAUAAGUCAUGGAAUUCAGACCCUGAGGCUAAAUGCUUUCUUGGAAUUGGCUAUCUUGACUCAUCUUUUUCUCUGUAAAAAAGGAAAAACUCAAUAAAUUCUACUUCAAAAAGACUAAAAAAAUGGAACUUUAGAUUAAUCUCUAUUUAAAACAUUCAGGCUGUGCAUGAUGUAAAUUGACAGAUUUUACAAAUAAUAAAGGCAGAACAAAAGAGCCUUUCAUUAAAAUUUCCUGUAACAAGCUCUCCUACCACAGAAUGAUACUGUCACUUCAUUACACUUAGAAAAGACUUUAAAUUGAAUCAUCAAAUAAACUGCUUAUCCUGCCAGUGCAAGGUUGCUCCAGGGCACGGAAGCAACCUUGUUUCACCUUUGGCUCUUUCAACCUGUAGAUUUAAGCAAAGAUCAGAAUUGCUCUGUUUGCUUACAACACAUGUUUUAGGAACAUUUCAAAAUGAUCUGCCCAAUGCUUUGGGAAAAUGAGACACUACAUUCUAAUACACAAGAAGCUAUGGUGACUCCGUGGUUACAUCCUGCAAACAAACACAGUAAAAGACAGUAUGUUUACUACAGCCCUGCAUGGAGUGCUGAAAAUACUGCUUUUUUGUCUAAACUGCUGUGUAGUCAAUUUGGUCUUUUCUUACAGGCACUCUGAACUUUAUUCUGUAAUAAAUGCUGUAGCUCUGCUAAUGCUCCUGUAGCUCCACAAAUGGCAAGCUGAUCCUAGGUACUGCACAUCUUUGUAACGACGAGGAUUCUCUAGACAGCCUUUUGGACAAAUUUCCUGAGAAGACUGACACAUCAGGCUCUCCUACCCUUCACUAGCAGCCUUUUCAAAAUCACCCUGUUUUGCAGGGGUAUUUAUCUAUGUUGUGAAAGAUUUAAUAUUGCCUGUAAGCCACUAACACAGCACUAUGGCCUUCUGGUACGAGCUGUUACUGUGUUAGUCCUCUGUGCUGACAGAAAUAAGCUACAGUAGGGCUUUUGUCCUGGGAUGUACAUCACUCCAAGCCAAUCUUGUCCUUUCACUGGUGCUAUCUGGACUGCUCUGAGGUCUGGGACACUGCAGUUUUGUUUCCAUUUCUCUGACUAUAUGCUUUGUGAUGCUGUUUCCCACCAUCACUGCCUUUCCAUUCUGGUACACAUGAAUUUGGCCUUAGAAUAUUUUUUUUCAGUUGAAGGGAAAUUUCUACAAAAUCCAUCGUGUUGCAUCACAAACUUGCUGCUCAAGCAAGGUGGAUCAGAGAAGUGUGUGACUCCGAGAGAAGCCACUGCAAGGACAAACCAUGACACCAUGGUUCAUGGUCCCCUGUGUGACAGCAGGCAGUAUUUCCAACAUUACACACACAGUAUUAGUAAGGACAACCAGAGCUUCCCCCUUCUGGUAGUCUGCAAACUGUAAGCCUUGUCACCCACAAGAAGAGAAAGGAUAUUGCAUACAUCAUUUCAGAUAAAAGCUUCUGAUCAGGACUGAGCACAGGAUCUCCUAGGAGUUAUCUGCUGUCUCCUUGGUGCUGUCUUGCAGUGACAGCUACUGCCCUGUGGAUGGCCCGUAAUGCAGAGCCAAGGUGCACCAAAAUCAGCUACUCGUCUUGCCAAGCAUUUCACUUUUAUCAUCAAAACAACUUGCACAGUUAACAAAGUCAUUAUUGCAAUUAAAAUAAAAGAAAAACUCCAUUUGAAAAUGCCUGCAGCUGUGGGAAGCCAGCAUUAGGAGAGAUUCCAGGGAUUCCCACCACAGCUGCAAUAUGAGUAAUUUGUGAUUUCUGGAAAGCUGAUGAAGCCAGUAAAGGUAGGAUGUUUUAGCAUGUCCCUCAGUACUUGAGCAGGUACUUAAAGGCAUUAGCUUAAAGUUAACAAACAACUGCCAACUGCCUUUACCUUAGAAGUUCAAAGGUAAUUUCUAUUGUAACUGUAAUCAUGAUCUUUCAUGGAGAUUAUACUACAAAUACAGAUAUUUUUGUCACUUUUUUUGUUGCAAAGAUUGACAUACACUACUCAUCCACUUCUAAACAAUUUGUGAAGCCACAUAUGAUCAAGUUAAAAUACAAGCAAUCAGCUGGCAGCUGUAGGUACGGGACUUGACAGAUAUUCUACACUGAUUUGCAAUUUAAGACAGCAAUAUCUGGAUAGUAAAACCAUCCAGAAAGUUUUCUCUUGCUCUAAUUUAUCUUGACAGAUAAAAACCAAGGUUAAAACAGUACAUAUUUUGGGUUUCCACACCCUAAGUGAGCAAGUCAGUUCACAGUUGUAUGACUCCAAUGGCAACAUACUUUUCUUCUAAUAUUGUUGUACAUUUCUAACAACCGCUAGGCUCUUUUAGCCAAAAAAAAAAAAAA